UGUAAUAGCCCGAUUUUGGGUCUAGUCGGAACAGUGGUUUCGGGACCACAAACCCGACGAGAAAAAAAAAUUUAUUUUUAUUAUAUUUUUAUAGUCUAUAAAUUUAUGAAAAUAUUUCGUAAAAAUUUCAUUCGAAAAUUUUGACGUUUGAGCACUCAAUUUAGUCAAAAGGACUAAAUUGUAAAAAGUGCAAAAGUUGAGUUCUUUAUAUAUGAGGUGCCUAAUUGUUAUGAGUUUUAAAUUGAAAGUCCUUAUGUGACAAUUAUUCCUUUAAUAAGUUAGUGAAUGGAUGUUUGUUUGGUAUUUUUGAAAUUUGGUUGAAAUAAAAAGGGUAAUUUUGUAAAUUAAUUAAAAUAACCUAAUAAGACAAAUGAUAAAAGCUAUCAUUUUUUUUCAUUCUUUCUUCUUCAACCGUGGGAAAGAACAGAAAAUAGCAGCCAUGGAUGAGCUCCAUUCGGCCAAGCUUUUAUGGCUUAUAUAGAUGAUGAAAAUUGAGACUUGGACCUAGAACGGAAAGAAAUCGAUUUAUGGACGAGUAUGUCCUUUUCACAUUUGUGGUAUCGAGAGUUUCCAGGUUAGCCCGGGUUGGAGGCCGUCAGAGAUAUUAUCACCCUAUCGAGUUAACGUUAUCGGAGUAAGUAAACUCAAGUGAUUCGAGUCUAUGGCAUGUAUAGGGUUUUAAUGUGCGUAUGUAAUAUUAUGAUUUAGCCAAAGGCAUUGGCUUGUUAUUAAGGUAGUAUUAGUCAUGUAAAUUGGCCUAUGUCGGCUAAUGACAUUAUGGGCCCAUAUGAUUAUUCUUAUGCAUGUAUGUUAUUAUCUCUUGUGAUGUGGCUUACAACAUGUAUACCUAGAGAUUGAAUUGAGAUUCAUUGAUGAGCUAGUAACUAAUGCAGGAUUAAGUGAUUGGUAAAUAGUUAAUAA